rnacentral:lncRNA from 1 species
UUUUUUUUUUUUUUUGGUAAUGUGCAUAAACUUUAAGUUUAGAAAUUGUAUAUUGGAUGACUCAAAUCUUCUUCACCACAAGAGUAUAUUUUCAACUCGAGACUGUACUAAUAGGGAACAUACAAUCAAUUUUCCACAAUACUACACGGGGUUUUCCCCUACUACACGAGACUGAGUAGAAAAUUGGUCGAGCAGAAAAGUCGGAUGAACCAUGUCUUCAUUUAGAGCCACAACUACUCGUAGCCCAGAGAUAUUUAUUUUCAGUGCCUUGAACGUUGAUCGAUUACGAUAGUUGGAUAUUUAUAAAUCUCACUAGCUAGGGGAAGUAGUUUUUUUUUUAUAGUAGUUGUGGCUACUGCUUAUACAGUUUCUAUCUUUCAGUCCAGCGCUAGCGCUCAAUUAUUUUGUCCUAAAAGUGAAGCAUAGUAGGUAUAUAUCGGACAUCCAUUUCGACAUCAACAAAUUCAAUUCCAUCACACUCGGCUAAUAGCUAGAUAAUAAGAAGAUAAAGAUCAUGUAGAUAUUGAAAACACAAAUGACUGUACACCUCAAACAUAGAAAGGUACAGAUCGAUUACAUAAUACAACAAACACAUACACGUACAUACAUGGUGAGCUAAACAUACUCACCAGGCACGUUAUUAUACAAACCACACUUAGCUGCGUAACACUCGUCUGCAACUACAACACGGCCUACAUACGCUUAUGAACUAUAUGAACCCUAACUUUGCGUAUCAGCUUCAAAUCACAAACGAGCACCGAUCCACAGCCACUAAUUAAUAUCAUUUACAAGCUAAUCCGUUCAUCGAGUAGUGGUGUGUCCACCGGGAAGCUUUUCCUUGAUCUUGUCCAUCAUGCCCUUCUUCUCCUGGUGCUCCCCGGUUCCGGUACCGUAAGCCGGUGCCGCAGUGGUGUGAGUGUGAGUGGUGUUGUGGGGAUCUUGUCCACCGGUAAGACCACCUGGUAGCUUCUCUUUCACCUGGUCCACCAUCCCCUUCUUCUCAUGAUGCUCUCCGGCGACGCCGUAACCCGGUGUAGCACCAGUAUGAUGAGCAGUGCUGUAGGGAUCUUGCUUUUGACCACCUGGGAUCUUCUCUUUUAUCUGGUCCACCAUGCCCUUUUUCUCAUGGUGCUCUCCGGCCACGCCGUAACCUGGUGUAGUAGUAUGCUGACCAGUGCUGUAGGGAUCUUGCUUUUGACCACCUGGGAUCUUCUGUUUGAUUUGGUCCAUCACUCCCCUAUCCUGCUGCUGUCCACCGUAAGGUGCGGUGGUCGGGGCUGUACCGUAGGGGUCGUCGGUCUUGUGGGUGCCUCCUGGAAGCUUCUCCUUGAUCUUCUCCUUCAUACCCUUCUUCCUCCUUCCACCACAGCCAUCGUCCUCAGACUACAUGACACAACAUACAAAACACCAUUAGCCAAUUGAUUCAAAGUUUCAAAUAUAAACACAACAAUCAAUUAAACAUGGGAGUACGUAGAUGGGGAGCGAGGCUUACGGAGCUAGAGCCGGAGCCGGAGCGAGUGAGAGUAGUGACGCCUCCGUGACCAGUUCCGGUUCCGGGAUGAACGCCUUGGCCGGUUGUUGCUCCGGUGUGAAUUGGGUUGCCGUACUCGUCCUUACGUCCCACGGGGUUUCCGUACUCGUCAGUGGGAGACUGAGUGGGGUAACCGCUCUGGUAUUGCGCCAUUUUCAAAUCAAAGUAAAACAAAGAAAACACAAAAGACUGCAAAUCGGGAUUGUAUUUGAUUUCUUAGUAAAGCUCGUUGUGGAUUAGAUGUGUUUGAGUUUGGAGACUUGGUCCGUUUAUAUAGGCAUCCAACGCAUGGACACGUACCCCUAGCCCUAGAAACGUGGUCGUCUAUAAAACUGACAAGUGUAACGUUAGUGUCGGUAACGGAGAGGAUAAGUGAGGUCGUUGUCUGGGGAGUGGAGUCAGUGGCGGACUCGUGACACGUUCACCGCGUCCGGCCGGCCAAAAGGGGGGAGGUGAACAGUCAGAGGUGGACACGUGGUGGUCUGAGAGUCGCCGAUGAGGAUGAACCCUGAUCUAGUGUGACACUGCGAUAGUUUGAUAGUUGGAUGGGAUGUGUACUGAGGUUGUUUUUAUCAUAUUGCUGUUAGGUAAUGUGGUGGAGCUGGAUGUUAUCCAUGCAGAUAUUUCUGUACGCUGGACCGACAUGAGAAUAGUUUAUUAUGUUUGAAUUCGAUUCAGAUUACUUUGGUGAGUGCUCAUAUAUAACAUCGAGGCCAUGCCAGGUGAUGAUGAUGAUCGAUCCUCGAACAAGUUUCGUCUUGGAAUAAUCUUUUAAUAAGUUGUUGGCUCAAGUUGAUAAUUUUGUCGAUCUCAUAUGCCAUCCAUCCAUACAAAAAAGUACCAACAAAGUUCAAAGUUCAAACAUCUCGGCCAUUGCCAAAAAUCUGAUAGUUUUUUUGGUAGUUCUGAAUGAUUCAUUCAUAUAUGUAAUCAAAACAAAACAAAACCUUCAAGACAUUUCCUCGUCUAGCUAGUGUUCCAUGUAACCCUACAUUAAACGGUUAAACCUCUGAAAGUUACAACACCACAACUUGAUGGGAUUCCAGGAUCAAAUCAAGCAAAGAAAUUAGCCACUCCUCAAUUAGGUAAUAAUUGGGAUAUGUAACAGUCAUAAAAGGAAACAAGAAAUUGUAUCAAAAAAAAAAAAAAUAGUAAACUACAUAUUAGUUACUAACCAAAUAUCAAUUAACAAAAAGAUCAAUUAAGCAUAUUUGUAAACAAAUAAGGACAAACUUUUACAAAUAAGGACAAAUUGUUAUAUUGUUGCCAUGUGGCAAUGCGCAUUUACAAUUGUGCCAUUUAAACUAAAUGUGCUGCUACUGUCGGCAGUUUACAAACUUCUGCUACUGCGAACUGAAGAAGUUGCUACUGUCGACUGUUUACAAACGUUAUGCUACUGCCCCCUGUUUUUACUUUUCUGCUACUGCCCCCUGUACUGUAAGCAGUUUACAAACGNNNNNNNNNNNNNNNNNNNNGAGAGAGAGAGAGGAAAAUUAGAGAUGAGAGGGUAUUACGGUAAUUUGAUAGGUAAAAUUCGGAUCAGGGCUAAUGCCAUUAGUUUUGGGCUUGGGCUGAUGUCUUAAAUUGUAUAAAAAUUACUAGAAGUGUGUUUUUUGUGUUUUUAAAUUUGGUCAUAUGCUACUAUGUAAUUUACUCAAAAAAAAAAAGGAUGAAAGAAACCAAGUCUGUAGCUCUUAGAAGCCCUAUUAGUAGCCAAACUCUAUUUAACGAACAGCCCAACAAAGCCCAACAAACCAAACGGCACCGGGUACGCGGCCAGAAACGUCUUUAUACAGCCUGAUACGCGUGGGGCGUGGCCAGAUACGUAUCCGUAAAUAAUAGGUUACAUAGGGGCAAUACGGACUUUUCACCAUGGUGUUUGCAUCCUCAAAACCUCCUCGUAUGCUUCUAGCUCCUCAAUCCAAACUCAACCCAGAAAAAACAGCAAAUGAUGAUAUCAGCAAUUUCAUGGGUGCCCAAAGGAGUUUCGAAGCCAGUCCCCGCAGUUGCCGAGCCGCCCACCCAGGAAGAAAUCGACGAGUUAAUAAAAUCCGGUAUCUUAGACAAAAGGUUAACAACCUCUUCAACUCCUUGUCUUUCUCUUAGUACUACCUUUUUUCAUUCCUAUGUUGUUUGUUAGUGUAUGCUUUCAACUUGUUUCAUUGUUUUUUUGGUACUACUUGGACACCGAUGUUUACUUUGGUUGAAGCAAAUUGUUGGGUGUGUUUAGUUUCCCGGAAAGGUGGAGUCUUUAGAUAGUAAAUAGGGAAAGAUUGGAUUUUUGAAUUAGUUUAGGAGCAAUGUGUGUGUGUAAUGGUUAAGAAUGUGUGUUGUUUAUGUGGGUCUUGCGAGUUAAUGUAGUUAUAAUUUGUGCAGUGGAGGCGGUGGGAGCGAUGAGGAUGAUGAGGGAGAAAUGGAGGUUGAAGAGACCACCGGUGAGGGUGGCGAAGUCUCGCAAGCAUUAGAGGUGGCGAAAGCGCUUGGCAGAGCUGAAAAGGUGACCAAGUCAGGGAGCAAGUAUGAUGACAUUACGGAAGGGUUGAAGGAACUUGACAUGGGACGAGGAUGAUGAUGGUAUUGCAGUUUGAUCUUGGUUUUUUUCUCAUUUCAAUUUUUGGAAUAUAAGACGGGGUUGGUUAUUGUAAUGAUUAAGUUGGAGGCGUUAAAUGGAGUCAGAAUGUUAUAGUCAAAGGUUAAAACUUCGAAAGAAUGUUUUUCUAAACGUAUAUACGGUAAUACACGUACAUACAUGGUGAGCAAAACGUACUCACCAGGCACGUUAUUAUACAAACCACACUUGGCUGCUCAACACUCGUCUGCAACUACAACACGGCCUACAUACGCUUAUGAAGUAUGAACCCUAACUCUGCGUAUCAGCUUCAAAUCACAAACAAUCCGCAGCCAUUAAUUAAUAUCAUUUACAAGCUAAUCCGUUCAUCGAGUAGUUCCAGCGGGAAGCUUCUCCUUGAUCUUGUCCAUCAUGCCCUUCUUCUCCUGCUGCUCCCCGGUUCCGGUACCGUAAGCCGGUGCCGCAGUGGUGUGAGUGUGAGUGGUGUUGUGGGGAUCUUGUCCACCAGUAAGACCACCUGGUAGCUUCUCUUUGACCUGGUCCACCAUGCCCUUUUUCUCCUGCUGCUCCCCGGUUCCGGUACCGUAAGCCGGUGCCGCAGUGGUGUGAGUGUGAGUGGUGUUGUGGGGAUCUUGUCCACCGGUAAGACCACCUGGUAGCUUCUCUUUGACCUGGUCCACCAUCCCCUUCUUCUCAUGCUCUCCGGCGACGCCGUAACCCGGUGUAGCACUAGUGUGCUGACCAGUGCUGUAGGGAUCUUGCUUUUGACCACCUGGGAUCUUCUCUUGGAUUUUGUCCAUCACUCCCCUAUCCUGGUUCUGUCCACCGUAAG